rnacentral:lncRNA from 1 species
AAUUAUAUUCCACAAAAAAUAAUUCAAAUAAAAAAAUAUAAUUAUAAAAGAUAUUGCAAAAGUCAUAUAUGUAUAUAUAUAUAUAUAUAUAUAUAUAUAGAUAUAUUAGUAAUGAAUAUGUCAAACUUCUAAAACUAUUUUUAGAAGGUGCAAACUUCAAAAAGGGAUUUUGUAUGAUCUAAGCUUUGCAAUUUCUAGAAAGAUUUUUUUAAAGAAGAGAUACAUUGAUGCUAGAGACCUUUUUAAUUUCUACUAUAUUUAAUAUUUUAUUUCAUAGUGGAUAAUCCACUAUUCUAUCAACCAGUAGAAGGAUUGUUACCAACAGAUUCAAUAAUUGGCAACAAAUUACUUCAAAUACAUGAUUUCUUAUUUGAUUAUUUUAGCAUCUCCAUCAAAUUCAAUAACAUGAAUAUCUUAGCAAAAGAUCCCUACAAUUGUGUAAAAACCCAUCUUAACGUUCUUUUCUAGAAGACUGCAUGUGAAGCUUGAUUCUAUGCAAUGUUUUCCAGCCCUUGCGGUGAGCCUUCAAAAUCCUAAAAAUUUGGCUGACCCUAAUCCUUUUGAAUGUCACAUUCUACUCAAAACAUUAACCCCAUAAUCCUUUUGUUUCUUAAUUGCUAUAAUAUGCGUUAUGGGAAGCCAACAAAAGUCUAUUAAGAGAUAGAUAAUUAUUCUCAAUGAAUAGAAAACCUAGAAGUAGAAGGCAUAAGAAACUCAGCUCAAAGAUUAACAAAGUAUGAGUUAAAGGUAGUUAACAAUCCAGAACUUUAAAUAUUAUGAAAUAAAUAAAUAAAUAAAAUGGAAACUUGUUAGUGCAAUCACACGUUACAGAUACAUGGUCCACAGCCAGCACAACUUGACUAUUUGAAACCCUAAAAAUAAAUAAAUCAAUUCUUUCACUCAUUAUUUUACUGUUGAUGGUGGCAAAUGUGUGGACAGAAAAGGUGGAUUGUGAGAAGGAGUUCCUGCCACACUACACAAUUAAAUGAUUUCGGUCUUUCUUUUUUCCUUUCUCAAUUCUUUUAUAAUUAUUUUAUAAUUUGUAAUUUAUAAUUGUUUUUCUCCCUGAUCAUGUAAUUGGAGGGUUAUUGUGCAUUAACAGUCAUUCUGCAGGUAUUGUUAGUUUGUGGUGUUCACUUGGAUUAUUAAAUGUGGACAGCAAGUAUGGAAUGUGCUAUAUUUUGGAACACAAAUGUAUUUGUGGGAUUGUAAUCAAAAGCAUAUCAAUGAUAGUACCCAUGUUGUUUGUUGUACAUUUGGAGUAAUAUCUACAAUAACCAUGUUAUUUGUUAAAAUGGUACUUUUGUGUAUAUGUGUACAUAUAAAUUUAUUUGGUUCAUGUAAAAUGAACUCAUUCUUUAACCUCACAUGUGUUUAGUGGAGAGCAUAGUUGCAAAAAUACCUUGCAUUGUUUUAUUCCUUACUUUUAUUUAAAUCCAUAAAUAAUAAAAUUAAUAUUAAUAAAUCUGCUUUUAGGUUUUGCUGUGUUGAAUAAUACGUUUGAUUUUUUUGUAUUAAAAAUUUACUUUAUUCCAUGUUUUGGUUUUGUUUGAAUGAAACUACCACUUAUAUCCUGUUAUUUUUUGAUUUAUUUCUUUGUAAUUGGGUGAAAGUCUUUGUGUCUCUGUAACUUUCUUUUAAUUUUUUUUUUAACGAAUAUAUUGGGUGUAG